rnacentral:ncRNA from 1 species
GCAGAGUAGACGGUAUGCGUUGAAGCAAACAAGCUUCUGAAGUGUUAAGGGAUGGGAAGUUGCCUUUAAACGAAUGACUUACGUCAGCGAUAUACUGUUGCAUCCGCUGC